GUGCCAGAAGAGAAGGGAAGACGUAGGUGGCGAGCGUUGUCCGGAAUUACUGGGUGUAAAGGGCGUGUAGGCGGGGCGUCAAGUCAGGUGUGAAAUUCCGAGGCUUAACUUCGGGUGUGCAUCUGAAACUGAUGUUCUUGAGUGUCGGAGAGGAAAGUGGAAUUCCCAGUGUAGCGGUGAAAUGCGUAGAGAUUGGGAGGAACACCAGUGGCGAAGGCGGCUUUCUGGACGAUAACUGACGCUGAGGCGCGAAAGCGUGGGUAGCAAACAGGAUUAGAUACCCUGGUAGUCCACGCCGUAAACGAUGGAUACUAGGUGUAGGAGGUAUCGACCCCUUCUGUGCCGGAGUUAACACAAUAAGUAUCCCACCUGGGGAGUACGGCCGCAAGGCUGAAACUCAAAUGAAUUGACGG
rnacentral:rRNA from 1 species